rnacentral:rRNA from 1 species
UACGAAGGGGGCUAGCGUUGCUCGGAAUCACUGGGCGUAAAGCGCACGUAGGCGGAUUGCUAAGUCAGGGGUGAAAUCCUGGAGCUCAACUCCAGAACUGCCUUUGAUACUGGCAACCUUGAGUCCGGGAGAGGUGAGUGGAACUGCGAGUGUAGAGGUGAAAUUCGUAGAUAUUCGCAAGAACACCAGUGGCGAAGGCGGCUCACUGGCCCGGUUACUGACGCUGAGGUGCGAAAGCG